rnacentral:rRNA from 1 species
UACGUAGGGCGCAAGCGUUGUCCGGAAUUAUUGGGCGUAAAGAGCUCGUAGGCGGUUUGUCGCGUCUGCUGUGAAAUCCCGAGGCUCAACCUCGGGCUUGCAGUGGGUACGGGCAGACUAGAGUGCGGUAGGGGAGACUGGAAUUCCUGGUGUAGCGGUGGAAUGCGCAGACUAUCAAGGAGGAACACCGGUGGGCGGAAGG